rnacentral:misc_RNA from 1 species
GAUGAAGAACGCAGCGAAACGCGAAAUGUAAUGUGAAUUGCAGAAUUCAGUGAAUCAUCGAAUCUUUGAACGCACCUUGCGCUCUUGGGUUAUUCCUAGGAGCAUGCUUGUUUGAGUGUCGCUUACCCCCCUCAACCCCGCUGGUUCUUAUCAGCUGCCAGGGUUGGAUCGUGACGCCUGUGGGUCUGCCAAAGACCGACUGCGUUGAAAUGCAACAAGCUGAAUCCAGAAAGCGGCUUGACCCGUUGUCGUAACUUUUUAAACUCAAUGGGGACGCUGGACGGAAUGGGCUUACCAUAAACUAUCAUUUGACAAAUGACCUCAAAUCAAGUAGGACUACCCGCUGAACUUAAGCAUAUCAAUAAGCGGAGGA